rnacentral:lncRNA from 1 species
UGUUUACAAAAGAAUUAAAGUUAAGAGAAUUUUUGUAUAUUUUUUCGUAAUAAUAUUUAUCACCGCCGACUAUGUCUAGUGAAGUUGGUUAAAAAUUUGAUGGUUAGUAUCCGAGAUCUUAAGGUUGAUACUCAGCUACUUAGCAUUUUUAGCUGAAUUUAUUUAUAAACAAAAAUAAACAAAGCAAACAGCUUGCUACAUUUCUCUCAAAAAAAUUAAAAAUAUCAUCACCGACCGUACCUAACGUUGUUGGUUAAUGGCUUAAUGGUUGGUACCCGAGAUUUUAAAUUUGAAGCCUAAUUGCUUCACAUUUUUAUUUAAGUUUAUUUUUAAAAAUAAAUAAAGCAGGAAGUAUCUCUUUCAAAACAA